UACGUAGGGAGCGAGCGUUGUCCGGAAUUACUGGGUGUAAAGGGGGCGUAGGCGGGGAUGCAAGUUGGGUGUCAAAACUACCGGCUCAACUGGUAGUCGCACUCAAAACUGCAGCUCUUGAGUGAAGUAGAGGCAGGCGGAAUUCCUAGUGUAGCGGUGAAAUGCGUAGAUAUUAGGAGGAACACCAGUGGCGAAGGCGGCCUGCUGGGCUUUUACUGACGCUGAGGCUCGAAAGUGUGGGGAGCAAACAGG
rnacentral:rRNA from 1 species